ensembl:rRNA 5S_rRNA 5S ribosomal RNA
AUGUAUGGCUAUGCCACCCUAAACAUGCCUGAUCUCGGCUGAUCUCAGAAGCUAAGCAGGCUCGGGCCUGGUUAGUACUUGUAUGAGAGACUGCCUUGGAAUACCAGGUGUUGUAGGUG